rnacentral:rRNA from 1 species
UACGGAGGGUGCAAGCGUUGCUCGGAAUUAUUGGGCGUAAAGGGUAGGUAGGUGGUCUCAUUUGUCUGGGGUGAAAGCCUUGAGCUUAACUCAAGAAGUGCCCCAGAAACGGUGAGACUAGAGUCCUGGAGAGGGUCGUGGAAUUCCCGGUGUAGCGGUGAAAUGCGUAGAUAUCAGGAGGAACACCGGUGGCGAAGGCGGCUAUCUGGACAGAGUCUGACGCUGAGGCGCGAAAGCUAGGGGAGCAAACAGG